ensembl:lncRNA
UGUUCAUACACUUUCCUCUUUACCUCAGAGCUGCUGUUUAGUGCAGGUCUAUCUUUCUCCUCUUCCCACACUAAGUUUACACUCCCAUGAUGCUUUGCUCUCAGUGUGAAAUUCCACCAGGUGUGUAUUUACCUCAGUCAAGCACAUGAUCAGGUAACGCCUUGCUUUUUCAACUGUUUUUUUGCUGGUUUUAUUGGACAGAUAGAGAACAGCAGAGGAGCUCCAUUCAGAUGACAGGGAAUCUUCCAACCAGGGUUUCUGAAAGUUAUGGGACAUGUUCAGCCCUAACCUCACCAGAACAUAAAGUAGACAGGUUUCUGAAAGUUAUGGGACAUGGACAGCCCCAACCUCACCAGAACAUAAAGUCGACAGGUUUCUGAAAGUUAUGGGACAUGGACAGCCCCAACCUCACCAGAACAUAAAGUAGACAGGUUUCUGAAAGUUAUGGGACAUGUUCAGCCCUAACCUCACCAGAACAUAAAGUAGACAGGUUUCUGAAA